AGUGAACGCUGGCGGUAGGCCUAACACAUGCAAGUCGAACGGCAGCACAGUAAGAGCUUGCUCUUACGGGUGGCGAGUGGCGGACGGGUGAGGAAUACAUCGGAAUCUACUUUUUCGUGGGGGAUAACGUAGGGAAACUUACGCUAAUACCGCAUACGACCUACGGGUGAAAGCAGGGGAUCUUCGGACCUUGCGCGAUUGAAUGAGCCGAUGUCGGAUUAGCUAGUUGGCGGGGUAAAGGCCCACCAAGGCGACGAUCCGUAGCUGGUCUGAGAGGAUGAUCAGCCACACUGGAACUGAGACACAGUCCAGACUCCUACGGGAGGCAGCAGUGGGGAAUAUUGGACAAUGGGCGCAAGCCUGAUCCAGCCAUACCGCGUGGGUGAAGAAGGCCUUCGGGUUGUAAAGCCCUUUUGUUGGGAAAGAAAAGCAGCAGGUUAAUACCCCGCUGUUCUGACGGUACCCAAAGAAUAAGCACCGGCUACCUUCG
rnacentral:rRNA from 1 species